GCGUAGGGUAUGUAGGUCGUGAAAAAAGAAAAAAUUAAAAUACUAGGUACUAAUCUUUUAAGUUUUUUACUAUUUCAUAGAAUCUUAGAAAGGGGAUGGUACUUUUAGGGUAGUGGUUAAAUAGAAUAUAAAAAAAGGACCGACAGUGGCGAAAGAAUCACCUUUUCAAGUAUUGACGUAAGGUACGAAGGCAAGGGAGCAAAGAGGAUUUGACACCCUCGUAGUCUGUGUGUCAACGCUGAGUUUUCAAUGUAGGAAUGUUGUGUUUACAAUACUUGGUGUUUAAGUAACGCAUUAAAUUCUCCGCUGGGAAGUACGGCCGCAGGUUGAAACUCAAAAGAAUUGAGGUGACUUGUACGAGG
rnacentral:rRNA from 1 species